UUAACAAGACGAUUGCGCAUCGCAUUUGCGAUGUGAGGAAAGUCCGAGCAGCACAGAGCAGGAUGACGGCUAACGGCCGCCGAGGGUGACCUCAGGGAAAGUGCAACAGAAAUAAACCGCCCACUUUUGUGGGUAAGGAUGGAAAGGCGGGGUAAGAGCCCACCGAGCAGAUGGAGACACCUGCUGCCAUGUAAACCCCAUCCGCUGCAACGCCGACAGAAGAGUUGUUUGCUCGACACAUAACUUCAACGGGCGGCUUGAGCGUAUUGGCAACAAUGCGUCGAGAUAGAUAAUCGUCCACGACAGAACUCGGCUUAUUGU
rnacentral:RNase_P_RNA from 1 species